UUUGUGUUAGAUUUGAACAAAAUUCUUCCAACAGUGUAAGGACUUAGUCUUUCUACUUUAAUUUGCAAUUGUUCUAGAAGCCUAUCAUAUGGGUCAGGUGGUCACUCUGCAGCACAAGGAGUACUAUCCCACAUUGGAUCUGAUGUUAAUAUUUCCCUUAGACAUGCAGAAUUAAAUGGAAGAAUUCUGGGAGCCCCUGUCUUGCUUUCAGAGUUCAGCAACUGAGGAAAGUCUUGAUGGAUCACACUGCCCUGGAGGAGGA